rnacentral:lncRNA from 1 species
AUAAUUGUAUCUCAACCGCACGAAACUGUCUUUCGUGCCACAAUUUGAGUCCAAUUCAAGUAUCCAAAUAUAACACAUAUGUUUGUGCCUAAGAAUUAAUAGAUAAAAGAUGCACAGGAACUUAAUAAUAAUCAUGUGAAUAUGUGCUCAAGAAAUUUCUAUAUGACAGCAGAUGAUUCAAGCAAUUCAACAUAUCAAGAACAAGCUCCCAUAUCUUCAUAAAUAACCAUAAAUCUGGGUAUGAUCUCAAACACGAAUAAGAGGUGAAUGUAUUCAUACAAGUCAAACAAAUCAUAAGUCAAGAUGAGCACAUAAUUAAAAAAAGGCAUAAAGUAUCUCAAUUGUACCCGGACAUGAUAUAAUUUUUGUAAGUGCAUAUACGCUCGACAUCCCGUAUAUACAUACCCCCAAUACCAUAAACACAUAACAAUCAAGUAAAAUCCUAGGGGUUUCCCUCUUAAUAAGAUUAGCCAUGAGACUUACCUCUUUCUUGCCUAGCCUCAAUCAAAAAUUGCGUCAAAACCUCGCUCCAGCCCUCAAUCAUGAAAAUCCAAGUCAAGCUUCAUCCAAGGAAGUCAAACAAUGUUAUAGGAAGUGAAUAGAACUUCAAUCUUUGAUGAAUUCCCAAAAAGUCAACCUGGACGCAUGUGCCCGAAAUUCGAAACCAUUACUAAAAUCCGAUGACCCAUAACCUACUGAGUCGAAAUAUAAUUAGAUCCAAAUCCGGAUCUAAUCGAUGGUCAAAAUUACAAAAUACAAUCUCUUAAAAGUAUAGGCAAAAACCCCAAAUUUUCUUUCAAUAUUUUUGGAUGUAGGAGUCCAUGUAGAUCUUUGAAUUAUAAUCACAAAUAGGUAGAAAUCACUUUCCCUCUUGCCUUGCAUGAAAAUCCCCAUGAAAAAUCACCUAUUUCCAAGUCUAUGGCUUAGAAUAUGAGAGCCUGAGUAAAAGUCUUGAAAUAAUAUCUUAAAUAAUCUGCCCAGAAGUACCCUUCGCGAACAUGGCACAAGUUUCGCAUUCGCGAAGCACAAAACACUGCUGCUCAGGAAAAUGCUCUACGCGAUCGCGAAAGAGGCCAUGCAAUCGCGAAGGCCUGCUGCUCUCACAACAUCGCGAAGCGUCUGACCAACCGCGAAUGCAUUAACCAGACACCGGCCACGCUCCCGUUCUACGCGAACACAAUUAGAGACAUGUGAACUCGUAUACCAGUCUGCUUACAACACGUGAACGUGAAGGAACCAUUGCGAACACGAAGCACAAAGCCCUGAUUGGCCAAAUUCUUCUCUGCAAUCUUGAUCCUAGCUCCGCGAUCGCGAAGCACUCCAGAAUACCAGCAACACAGCAGCUCCAAACUCAACCAAAAUGGUCUGAAACCAUCCCCAAACACACCUGAGCCCCUCGAGACUCCGUCCAAUCAUGAAAACAAGUCCAAAUACAUUAUCCAAAUUUAUUCAAAGACUUGAAACAUUGCAAAUAAUAUUAAAACCACGAAUCGAAGAUUAAAAUUAUUCUCUUAACUUUCGAACAUGCCUAUUUCGUCGAACUCAUCCGAAUUACGCUCAGACAUUCCGGAUUACAGUUAAAUUUUGCACACGUAUUCCAUCCAACUAAAUGAAAAUUUUCAAGGUCUCAAAAACACAAUCCGAGUCUGAUAACACCAAAGUCAACUUCCGUUUAAACUUAUGAACUUUUUAAAUUUUUUAAAUAGCAGAAUAGCCUAGUAGACACUUGUACUUGUCCCACUUGGUUAUGCCGGUCCCAGUACUCUAUAGUUUGCCAAUUGAACACUUAUACUUGUUCAAAUUCUAUAUAUUGAUAUUAUGGUAUUAAUCAUGAUAUUAUGGUAUAUUUGGGGAAGAUAGAGGAAUCUUGAAUGCCUUUCCAGAUAAAAAAUUAGGGUUUUUUGAACAAGUAUAAGUGUUCAAUUGGCAAACUAUAGAGUACUGGGACCGGCAUGACCAAGUGGGACAAGUACAAGUGUCUACUAGGCUAUUCUGCCUUUUAAAAUUGCCAACUUUCAAUAAAUAGAGCUAAAACCUUCUAGGAAUAUCCAAAUUCAUAUCCGAACAUGCGCCCAAGUACCAUCACACAAACCCAUUGAAAUCAUCAAUCCCAAUUCCAAGGUCGUUUACUCAAAGUCAAACUUUGGUCAACUUUUCAUACUUAAAGUUUCCAAAUCGAGAACCAUUCUAUCAAAUCAAUUCGAACCAUAUGAAUAUUAAAACUAACCAUAUACGCAAGUCAUAAUACAGCAUAUGAAGCUACUCAAGAGCUUAAAUCAUCGAACGAAAUGCUAAAACUCAAAAUAACUGAUCAGGUCAUUACAAGAACAAAUUAUUUGAUUUGGCACCAUCUAUCUAGUAAUAAGUAUGUUUUAUAUUACUUUUUUCUUUGUUUACUGUAUAAACGAUAUUUGCUAUACAUUUAUUUCAUGUUAGUUAUAAAAGUUACAUUUAAUGUAAAUGACUUCAUGAUGAAACCAAAUAAAGCAUUAUUAUUAUUAUCAUUCUAUAAAAUAUGAUACCAACAUUAAUUAAACGCCAAAACUUUAAUGCAACAUUUUUCUAAGUUGUAAAUGAUAUAUCACUAAUUUUUUAAUGAAUAUCACGUAAAGUACAUACGAUAUUUCGUAAAUGUUGCAAAUCUUCUCAUUGGCAUUCAACAAACUGUCAGAAAUUUCAAAACUAUAUUUUAUAAAGGUCACACGUAAAUGUCAUAUUUUUUUACUAUAUUGCUUUAUAUGUCGGAAAUUUUAAGUGACGUUUCCGGGAUGUCGUAAACUAAAUGUUGUAAAAUUCUUACGAUAUUUACCUAAAUAUCAUAAAAUUUUAUAGACAACAACAACAACCCAGUAAUAAUCUCACUAGUAGGGCAGGGGAGGAUAGAGUGUAUGCAGAUCUUAUCCCUACUUCGAGGGUAGAGAGACUGUUUUUGGGAGACCCUCGACUCAAAGACAUUUACCGACAUUUGAUGCAAUUUUUUAUAGACAUUUACCUAUAUGUCGUAGAAUAAGUGUCGUAAAUUUCUUAUCGACAUUUAUGUGUCGUAAAUUUCUUACCGACAUUUGAUGCAGAUGUAAAUUAAAUGUAGGUAGACGAACUUGUGACAUAAAAUAAUGUAAUACGAUAUUUAUUAAAUGUCGUCAUAUCUGCACUUUCUUGUAAUGUUUGAAGGAAAAUCCUACGAGAGUAUGUCGUAGUUUUUUACUCCCUUUAUACAAGGAGGUUUUCUACGUAAAAAUUAUUGUGGUCUUUCACUACUAAAAAAACUGAAAUUAGCUACGAACUGCGCCGCUAAAUCGCUCGUAGCUAACAGAUUUUUUUGGUAAAUUCGCUAAUCCGUCGCUAAGUAGGACGGAUUUUGCUGUUUAGCUAUAUAAUUUUUUCGUCGCUAUUUCCUAUUAUUUUUUAGUAGUAUUUAUAUUCUGCACUUUACUAGUUGUUUCUAUCUGUUUUGGGUGUAUCAAAAAACUUGAUUCUUCGUAAAAUCGGAUAAGACACAAUUCACCUUCUUUCUUCUUGUGUCUAGGUGCACACUAAAAUAAUAAGAUUGUACUUAACUUGUGGUUCCUGUCGUACACGGAAAUAAGAGCAAGGCUAUGUUCUAGUAAUUAAACUAGAUCCUUAUGUGAAACUCCUGUUGGAAUACACUUUCACGACUCUACCACCCAGUUAAUUCUAUUCCACUUAAUUCCUCUUUCAUGGCCAUAUAUCAUUCCGGCUAAGAAAUGGAAAAUCUUUUAUCUACACGCCUUUAUCAACGCUGUUUUUCGAUCGGAAGACCGAAAGCUAAUUAUCGAGACUUUGAACUAUCCGUACACAUUAGUUCAUACAUGUUUGUUGCCAGGAGCAACAAGAAAUGAAUGAUGUUGCUAGUUCUAGUUAAGAGAAAGGAUUUAUUAUGUAAAGUUUUUCACCGACUAAAUAAUAAAGUAAAUAAAUCCAAACUUGAAGAGAGCUAAUGCCACACCCCUUUUUUAACAAACUUCACUAAACCCUCUUAAUAAAAGGAUUUCGCAAAAAAAGCUUAAAAAAAGUUUUCAAUUUGAAAAGUGACAAAAUUGUGUGUUCAAAAGGAUUAACUUUAGAGUCGCCACCUGCCACCUGACAUUUGAUUUCGGUGUGUCAGGUCACCGUUUUUCCAAAAAUAAUAAUUUUCCUUUCAAGACACUUUGAACUCUAAAACUAAGUCUACACCAGAAUUUGGGUAAGGGGGUUCAUUUGACUGGGGGAGAAGGUGUUAGGCAUUCCCCGAGUCCCGUGAAAGUCACGGUUGUGUACUCGAUCUAGUUGGCUUUUAAAAUAUUCAAGUUGAGGUGGAAUCAUGGAAAAGCAAAAUAAACACACACGAAGCUCGAGGUCGUCCCCACCUAAUAAAAAAGAAAAGUAAAAAUAAAAAUAAAAAUAAAAUACUACAAGUUCUACUAUCGAUCUCCAAGUACAAAUACUUCAGGGCAUACCCCGAAAUAAAAUAUAUACAAAUCCUUCGGAGCAUUCCCCGGAUAAAUUUAACUAAAAAAACAACCUCGAAACUAACAAAAUCCUUGGUUAGGCAGUAGCCGGCCUAAACAUGGUCCUAAUGAAUGAUGCGACAAAGUAAAUAAAAGGGACAUAAAUAGAAGAAAAAUUCAACUCAUGGUCAUGUUCUUUUAUCCUUCAUUCACUUAACUAUAAUCCCCCGUGACAAGUAGGUGCACCAAACAUUGAUCCAACAAACCAAACAAAGAACCUAAUCAGAUAAAUGUUCGCACAUUUAAAGGAGAGGGCCAACUAGGGAAAACUAUGGCACAUCUACUAAGGACAGUGAAUAAAUCUAUCCAAAGAGCAUCGAAGUUUUCUAUCACCCCAUUUUUCUGUUAGUUCCUCAUCAGGCAAAAUACAGGCUAAGCAAGCUUAUAUUAAUUAAUCUUCCAAAUCAAUUGCAUGUGACCGAACAAGUCUAACAAAGCACUAGCAUAGAAUUAAUUACUAAACAUAGCAGGAAAAGACAAUCGAAUGAAAGCCAAAUAUUCACAGGACUAGCAUGGUAAAUGUCACAGUAAAAGAUAAUGAAGCUUUCAAACAGUCAUUCAUGUGCUUAAACAACCAGAAGGAAAAGAAAAUGCACCAAAACUUGCCGUUCGUCUACUAAAAUAUUUUUAGGAGUCAAGUAAGUUAGACACAAAAUGACCAUUUACAGAAAGCAUGGAAAAGAACCUCGGACAAAGCUAUAGAAGUGCUAGUCAAUCACUUUCACUGUUUUUUAAUCUUCACUAUCAAAAGUUUACUCCGAACAGAAAGAAUAUUUCAUUGGAACGAAUACUCCAAACAGUCAACACAAAUUCACAUGAUGGUAUUGCAGCAAUAUGUAACCCAAAUAAAACUAGCCAUGACUCAAACUUCAGAAAACUCAUCACAAAAAGCUGAAGAGGGAACAAUAAUAGGAAUAACACAUAUUACACUAAGAUGAACUAACAAACUCCAGCCAUCAUUAGUGUUUUAAUUCACACUCUUAGACAUAAGAAGAAAAGAGAAAGAGAUGAACCUGUUAAAGCUUUUCAAUUAAUCUCUCGGAAAAUUACAACAGUUAAAAUGAGCAACGACGACGAACUGCAACCGGAAGACUCGAACAGCAAUUCCACAAAUCGAACAUCCAACUCUGCUUCACUCCGUUUCGAAAAUCCGAAUCACAAAGAAGAGACCACAAUAUUUGUUUUCGUCAUUUUAAAAUUGAAUCAAAAUCAGAGAAUCAGGACCAAACCAUUAAACCUUUCCUAUUUUUUCUAAAAAAAAUCUCUAUUUCGAUUUUUCCUCCUCUCCAAGACUCCCUAUUUUCUGAUUAUUUUUUUUUUUGAUUUUUUUUUUUUUGACUCUUUGAAAUAAAAGAAAAAAACAGAAGCAAACCCAGAAAAAGGAAAAAUAGAUCUCUGAAAAUCAAACCCUCCUCUUUUCUCCAAUUUUCUCUGUCUCCUUUCAAUCUCUAUCCAGACCCAAAUAUAUAGCACCCUCCCGAAGCUUCUCUCCUUCCUCUGCAAGAAAUCGCAAAAACCCCUCAAAAAU